rnacentral:rRNA from 1 species
UACGUAGGGCGCAAGCGUUGUCCGGAAUUAUUGGGCGUAAAGAGCUCGUAGGCGUCUUGUCACGUCGGGUGUGAAAGCCCGGGGCUUAACCCCGGGUCUGCAUUCGAUACGGGCUAGCUAGAGUGUGGUAGGGGAGAUCGGAAUUCCUGGUGUAGCGGUGAAAUGCGCAGAUAUCAGGAGGAACACCGGUGGCGAAGGCGGAUCUCUGGGCCAUUACUGACGCUGAGGAGCGAAAGCGUGGGGAGCGAACAGG